GAGAUGGUGGGGGACAGGGAAGCCUGUUGUGCUGUAGUCCAUGGGGUUGCAAAGAGUUGGACACUACUGGGUGACUGAACAGCGACAGCAACCACUUAGUGUUAGGCUUGUACACCUUGAAAGCACAGUCAUCAGCUUUUAAAAUACUGACAUUAUUACUGGUGAUUGCUCCAUUUACAAUUAGCAAAACUGUUUUGUUUCCCUGUUAUUAGUCAUCAUCACUGAUGCAUUAGUUCUAUCAUGAGAAUUGAAACAUUCUGUUUAGCAGAACUUUUCUUGAGCUACAGAUCAGACUUUCUAGGACAUUUUGGAUGCCUUAGGCAAAUAUAAAUUAAUAACUCAUCAUAAAGAAGUUAACUCUUUUUUUCUAUUCAGAAUCUACAAGCUAGGUCUAUGAAAACCUGUGAACUAGGCAGUUUUAUAUUCUGGCAAACUUUGAAAAUAUCUUAUAGUAUGCUUUUGAAAAGCAUUAGCUAUGGUACUGAUGGCCUGCUAAUCGGUUGUUUGGUGUGCAAUCCUUCAUUUUCUCUUUAGAGAAACUCUGUAUAUGUCUUCUUAAGAACUAAAUAAACUUUUAGGUAGAUCUGAGCUUCCCUAUGAAUAUUUUUAUUGAAAGAUAAAGAUUAUACUUCUCCAGGGGACCUUCCCAACUCAGGGAUCGAACCUGGGUCUCCUGCAUUACAGGCAGAUUCUUUACCAUCUGAGCCACCAGGGAAGCCUGUAUAGCAUACUAACUACCAGCUGUAGUACUGAUGGCAUGUUAACCAGUAUAUUUUGUCUGGUAUAGAAUGUUUCCUUUUCUCUUUAGAGAAACUCUGUGUAUGUUUUCUUAAGAACUAAAUAAACUUUUAGAUGGGCCUGGGCUUCCCUGUGAACAUUUUUAUUGACAAAUAAAGAUUAUGGAGAUUGAAGUGGAAGAUAAGGUCAAUAGUGCUUUAGAAUGAUGCUGCUCAUCUUUUCUUUUUAUAGCAAUAGUUGGGAUAAGAAAAGAAAAACACUAACUUCUAAAACUGUGUCUCAAACCUUUUCAGUACCACUUUUUAUUGUUUUCCUUGACUUGAUUUGAUAAAGGCAUUCAUUUCAGAGCUGGGCCUUGACAAAAUUAAUUCAACUUCUUUUUUUUAAGGAAUAGCUAUAUAUUCCAAAGUUGGCACUGAAAAUACCAUAUGAAUAAGGCUGUCAGAGACAAGUUUUGAACAUUUUACAGUCCAGAGAUAGUCAUAUAAAUAAUUAUUAUUCAGUGUGGCAGUGUUGUAAAACAGAUAGGUAUAAUGUGCUUUGGAAGCACAGAAGAGGGAACAUUUAAUUCUUUCUGAUAGGCCUCCAGAAAGUCUUUACAAAGAAGAUAGGAAAUGACAUUUAAGCCAUCUUUUGGUGAAUGGAUGUUGUUGAUCAUGAUGAUGAUAGAUGAAGAGUACAGUUAUCAUUUAAUAAGUGUCUACUUGGUACCAGAUGGCAUGCUGUGUUUACUCUACAUUCAUUUCUCACCACAACUUCAUAGGCUGUUACUGUAUCAACUUCACAGAAGUAUGUAAAUGAGUGAUCAUGACCAUAUUCUAAUAAAACUUUAUGGACACUUAAAAUUUCAAUUUUAUGCCAUUUUUAUUUGUCACAAAAUAUUAUUUUUUAAACUUUCUCCCAGUUACUUACAAAUUUAGAAACCAUUCUUAGCUCACUGGCUGUCUUUAAAAAAAAAAAAAAAUGGCAGCAGGAUAGAUUUGGCUUGUGGUCUAGUUUACUGACCUGUGCUUAAUAUGACAAAGGAGAUUUAUUGGGUAAUAGAGUAGUUUUCUUCAGUAAUUCAGUGUUCACAAGGAUCUUGGUGUUUUCUAUUUCUCUGCCAUAACUUUCAUAGUGUUAACUUGAUCCCAUAGUUUAUUCCCCCUUGUGUGUAUAAGAUGACAGAAUAUCCAGGGUCUCCAUGGGUUAUCUUCCAUGUCUAGGGAGAGACAAGACCUUUCCCAGAAGCUCUUUCUAAUCUCUCUUGAACUUAAUCCAUUUAGAUUUUACCACUUCACAGGAACCAUACUAAAUCAAAUACAUUGAACAAAUUCAGUGAUCAGUUCUCACUGUUUAUAUUACUUGACCUAUCAACAUUUGAUCUUUUCCCUUCCAUGAACUCUUUACUUGACUUCUGUACUCUUCUGGUUUUGUUCCUCUUCUCUGGCCACUACUACUUGUUGUCUGCUGGUCUCUCCUCAUACCCACAGCCUCUGCAUAUUGAAUUCAGCCCCAAGGCUUAGACCUCUGACCUCUUGUCUCUGUCUCUUGUCUAUACUCCCUUGGAUAUCAUGCAUUUUAAAUGUGAUUAUGUAAUGACUGUAUUCAUGUAUGUCUGUCCAUAUCUGCUUAUUUGUCUAAUAGGCAUCUCAAACUCAAUAUGUCCAAAAGAGAGGUUCAAACACUCUUCUCAUCCCCAAACCUGUUCUCUCACAGUCUUCCCUUUUCAGUAAGUUGCAGAUCCAUCAUUUACCCCAAACAUCAGAAUUAAUCCUGACUUCUUUUCUUUAUUUUUCUCUUCUGACAGCAGAUUCUCUCCACUACACCUUCAGAAUAUAUCCAGAAUCUGACCCCUUCUCACCACCACUACACUCCCUUAGUCCUGGUGUUCAUCUUUUCCUGGGUUUUUGCAGUAGACUCUUGGUUGGUCUCUACUUCUCUUCUCUUUCUACUUCAGUUCCAAACCACUACCCCCACUACCUUAAUGAUUUCUUUGUUAUUGUAAAAGGCAGUAGAGGGUCUGGGAAUGAAGCCAGAUUUCUGAAACCAGAGACUUAAUUUUAGGAGUACUGUUAGGUUGGUGCAAAAGUAAUUGCAGUUUUUGCAUUGUUGAAGUUUUCCAUUUAAUGUUGGAAUACAUUCUAAGUAAAUGUGGUUAUUUUAUACAUAAUUUUAAUGUACAUUUCUCUCUUUUUAUGUUUUUUUUUUGUAAAUGACAUUACUUGAUGUUUAUUUUAUAUUUAUUUUAGACUGAGAAAGAUUGAGGGCAGGA